rnacentral:tRNA from 1 species
GGUAAAAUGGCUGAAAUUUUAAGCAAUAAAUUGUAAAUUUAUUAAUGAAUAUAAAAUUCUUUUACUA